ensembl:lncRNA
CUGGAAGAUGCAAAAAGCCAAAGAGAAAUAAUUUAAACUAGGAAGAGUUUUUUAGAGGCUCCAGAGGGACUUAACCAAUUCUGCAAUGUGCCAGGCACUGUGCCAUGUGAUGAGGAUGCUCUUCCUUGUUCACACCCAGAUCAGCACAACACGCCAGCCCUACCCUCAUUAUUCAGAAUGUGACUGCUCUUCACUACUGCUGCUCCUCUGACCCUGCCGUCACCCUCACCUGCGAUUCUGCAGCAGCCUCCUAAUGGAUCUGUCUUCUGCUCUUAAGGGCUACAGUGUAAGUCCUUCUUAGAAUGGUAUCCAGAGAGAACCUUUCAAAACCAAAUCAUGUCACUCCCCUGCUCAAAACCCUCCCAGGUCCCCUGUGACCCCGUGUCCUACGACCCUCUGGUUUGCUCUCUACUGCAGUGACCCUGAACCUUGGAAUCUACCACACUGGGAGGCGUGCUCCUGGACACUCUCUUCUCCCGGGUACUGCACAGGCCACGCCCUGACUUCCUUCAGGUCUGUGCCCAAGUGUCAUCUCAGUGACGUGUUCCCUGACCACUUGUGGGAUGCAGGAGCCCCUCCAUCCCCACCCUCCUUGCUUCUUUUGCUUGCUUGGUCCUUCUCCACAGUACUAACUGCCAGCUGACUUUCCAAAUACUCAUUUUCUGUGCUUCCUUCUUUAGAAUAUAAGCUUUGAGAGGGUAAGGACUAAGAUACUUACUGAAUGCAUGAAUAAGAGUGGUGAGCAAAAAAAGACAAUGAUCCCAGAAAUUUGAGAAAGAUGUCAACAACCUAAAACAAAAAGUGUCUGCCCCUUAGAUGAAGCCAAGAGCACAUAUCCACAAGCAGUGAGAAAUUAAGGAGUUUUCUUUUUAAAAAGGAUAACAGUUAGUAAAGGGAAUAACCAAGAGAUUAAUUAUGUAAUUACUAUGAAGUGGAAUCAUCUGUUCAAAUAGGCCAGCGUGGCAGGACCGGGGAAGGAAUGGCACAAGGGGAGACGAUGAGGAAGGCUUGGCAACACGCUACAUGCAAGGGGAGACAGUGCAGCACUCUGAGCGAGGGAAUGACAACCAGCGCCGUGCAGGUGUGAACAAAGUGCUCUGAGUGCUGGGUAGAGGUGAGAUGGAGAGGGAGAAGAGUGAGGAGAACAGAUCAGUAAGGAGGCUGCUAAGAAAGUCCGGAGAGAUAACAGUGGAUCACCUUAGAGCGGGGGCAGCAGAAACAAGAAGUAUAUGAUUUUUAGAGUUAGGGAGGAAAAUCUUUCCUCAGAUUGGCUGUGAUGUAAGAGUAAAGGUCAAGGGCGACCCUCAAGGUUGGGUUUGGGGCAGCCAGGUAGACAGCCCAUUGCAAAGAUAAAAGCAGAGAGGUGGUUCCUCAGCUCUUGCCUUCCUAAAGUAGAAGUUGCAAGUCAAGUGCUACUUGGGGGCUGCAAAACAAUUACUGCUUUUUUAAAAAAUAAAGACUGGUUAAAUCAUACCUAUCUGAGGAAACCUAGUGUACUGGAAAACUUUUAAGUAUAUUCUCCAAUCUAAGAGGCUGGAAAAAGUUCCUGCUUAAUAGCAGUAAGCACACUAGUCACAUCUUGCCCUGGGCUCAUACUCACCCAUCGCUUUUCUUUAGCAGGUAACCCUUCUUUUCACUGCCAUAUUCCUUAUUGCCCUGGAGCUGAUGCAUACUGUACCCUCCUUGCGGCUUUGGGAAUCCUAGAAAACAGAAACCACAGAUUAAAUGAAAACUGCAGACAACUCUCAGAUCCUUGACUCUAUGCUACCAUUGAGCCUUUGCCCACUGGUCUAAGAAAAUUAUGGAUCUUUGAGAGCUAUUAGGUCCUUGCCUUCAUAUUACAGGGGGAAACUGGACAGGUAAACAUUUGCCAGGAUCCAAAGCAGGUCUGAGGCAGAUGUGGACCCCCGGGUUCAGGUCUCCAAUUUCUAGUUCAGAACCCAGCUCUGCUGUGAAGUGAGUUCAAAUACACAGAAAGCACUGGGAGACCACUGACUCGAGCAGUGGAGACAAGCACAAGAAAUAAUGGAGAGCCAAAGUGGACACAAAACAAAGCCCACGCGAUGUGCCAGUGCUCUUCUGUUAGGCUACACCUUUGCUCCCUUAAAUAUUCUGCGAAUUUACUCUAAAUAAAAGGGGAACGUCCUGAGACCUAAACAAUGAUUAUGAAGUUUCUAUUUUAUACCUAACUAUUCUGAACAUCCCAAAUUAAAAAAUCUAACAUCUGAAAGUUUUAAGUGCUGAUAAUCCCAAAAAGUCUGUGAAGCAUUUCAGACUUAAAAUUUUUCAGAUUAGGGUUACUCAACUAGUAAAUCUAUGCAAAUACUCCAAAAUCUGAAAAACUUUGAAAUCUGAAACAGUUUGGUCUCAAGUGUUUCAGGUAAGGGAUACUCAACCUGCGGUGUUCUGUAAUAGACCCCUACCACACACAUCUUGCUAAGCUGCCCAGGCUGGGCUUGAGCAUGCUUUUCAUUCAAAAAGAUCAUUCUAUGGGAGUGAGAAGCGUAUGAUAUGGUGAAGGUGACAGGGCAAACCAACAACACAGAUGCAAACAAGCCUGAUUUCAUGUUAGCACCCCACUGGGCUUGACCACAGCAUCUAGGACAGCAUGACUGGAAACAGCAGUUACACUAUGAACAUGUAAGAAACAAAUGAACAGUGUGGAGCUACAGCAUGAGAACAUGGGUCUCCAGACAUGUAAUAAGGACAACACACUCCCACACAAAGCAUUGACUUACUCUCCUAGACUUCGAUCAGGAAGGGCAAAAGCAACAGAGAAAAAAGGCAGAACAUUUGAAAAUAUAGUUAAUUUUGUUGAAAACUUUAUCGCCCAUAAUUUUAGCACUUUAUAUAUAAUGCACACAGAAAACAUCACUGUAAAGAUAAAAAUCACUGUAAAGGUAAACUAUAUACACCUUUAGAAUUAUGAUAAACUCCAGGUGGUGGGACAAUAAAAUAUCUUUAUACCUAUCAUGUUUUAUUUCAGUUCAUGUUGAGUGCAGAAACAUAGUUAAAUGAAGACAUGAGGUACACAUUUUACCAAGAUAGAAUGGUUGAAAAAACUCAAAUGUGUGCACACAGGGAAUCAAUAUUUUAGUGAAACCAAAACUGAAUUACUAAGAGCCACAAUUCUGUCCCCCCUCUUAGGGUGAAGAGAACUUAAAUAUACCCAGCUCAUAAGAAACACCUGAAAUGUGAUGGGCUGAGGGAGGAAGCUCAGUCAAUCUCUGGUUAUUCACGGAUGACUGUACAGCAUAUCUUUAUGGCCAGGAUGGCUUCUUCUAGACAUUCAGGACCCUUUUGGGCUAGCUGGUGUGUGCUCAGUGAUGCACAUUAAUGUUAGUAAACAGUCGAAGGAACAUCUCUGGGACAAUGUGCUUUUAUAAAGCUAUUCUACUUGUGAUGAAUUCUGUGUUCAAAAACAUGUCCCAAACACAACCCAAAAGCCAGGACCCAGUGACUGAGGACAAAGGAGUCAAGCCCUUACUCAGGUGGAUGCUCACUCUGAUCGUAUCACUGUCCUGCUCUCUUGGGCAGUAAAUGGCAGCUGAUAGCACAGGGACCAGGCACUGGGACACAUGGGAAACAGGUAACCUUCUUAAUCUGUGUAAUUUCCCUCUUUCCCAGGCCGGAUUCCUUCCUCUAAUUGGACAAUUUUAAUUAUGUGGGGAAGGAUCAAGCAUAGGCUGAGACCUAGAAAUCUCUAAAUGUUUACAGUUAAACAGAGUUCACAGUCUUGAACUACACAGUAAUUUGGCUAAGUCCUCAUGCUUUAGGAAUUAGAGUAAACACCAGACAGGCAAGAAAAGCAGCCUUACUCUACUAGUGCCACCAGCAACAGAUCCCAGGAAAAACAGGAGGAACAGAGUUUUUUCUGGGACAGUGGGGGGCACUAGUGUGCCCAUAACCCUAAUUAUAAAACAUUAGUUCUGAAAAUGAGAUCGGGUGGUAAGGAAGAGGCAGGGAUAAAUAAAAUUCAUGGAGUUUCCUGUUUCAAUCCAUGAAAUUGCAUGAAAAUUACUACUAUUGCUUUGGAGCCAGGAAAUCUCCUCUAUCUCCUGGAAACAUUAAAAAUGAAAUCAGAAAUCUCCUUAGGAUCAACUCUUAUUAAAAGAAUUCUCUUCUGAGAACCCUUGUCAUUGAACUGAACUUCUCUUUGCUCACAUAACUCUUAGGUCUGAAUGCUGUAAACUACGUAUUUUAACUCAUGUGCUAACCUUUAGAAGUCUAAGUUAAAAAAAUAAAAAGCCCUUAUAUAUUCUCCUAAAUACAGAUUCAGAUAUUAAUGAUGUAUAGAAAACUUACUAUAUUCUGCAAAUUUAACAUGAAGAUAUUCCUCACAUAUAUUAGGAGGCUACCUAAACCUUAAAUUCUGAAC